UACGAAGGGGCUAGCGUUGUUCGGAUUUACUGGGCGUAAAGCGCACGUAGGCGGAUCGUUAAGUCAGGGUGAAAUCCUGGAGCUCAACUCCAGAACUGCCUUUGAUACUGAGGAUCUUGAGUUCGGGAGAGGUGAGUGGAACUGCGAGUGUAGAGGUGAAAUUCGUAGAUAUUCGCAAGAACACCAGUGGCGAAGGCGGCUCACUGGCCCGAUACUGACGCUGAGGCACGAAAGCGUGGGGAGCAAACAGG
rnacentral:rRNA from 1 species